CAUGGGUUCUAAAGAUGUUGUUCUACACAUUCGACCUAUCCGACUGUCGGAUACCAUUGCUAGAUGGUCACUUUGAUUGGUAAAAAAAUUUAUUCCUGUGCUACCAAUUUAGGUUCGGACCUAUAAGGCUACACACAUUAAAGUUCAUGAUCCAAUCGGAUGGUUGAUCAAUGAUUAAGAAUCAUUCUAGAGUUAAAUGAUCAUAUGAUUGACAUUUAACCUAGUGCAAGUGUUGCAGGAGGAUCGAUUAGUAAUUCAAUUGCUAAUUGACUUAAUUU
rnacentral:lncRNA from 1 species